rnacentral:rRNA from 1 species
GAAUAUUGGACAAUGGGGGCAACCCUGAUCCAGCCAUGCCGCGUGUGUGAAGAAGGCCUUUUGGUUGUAAAGCACUUUAAGCAGUGAAGAAGACUCCAUGGUUAAUACCCAUGGACGAUGACAUUCGCUGCAGAAUAAGCACCGGCUACCUCUGUGCCAGCAGCCGCGGUAAUCCAGAGGGUGCAAGCGUUAAUCGGAAUUACUGGGCGUAAAGCCAUCUUAGAUGGCUUGAUAAGUCAGAUUUGAAAUCCCCGGGCUUAACCUGGGAACUGCAUCUGAUACUGUUAGGCUAGUAUAGGUGAGAGGAAUAUAUAAUUCCAUGUCUACCUGUGCAAUUCGUAGCUAUCUGGACUCAUCCCUCUUGCGAACGCAGCCUUCUGGCAUCAUAUUGACACUGAGGUUCGAAAGCGUGGGUAGCAAAC